rnacentral:tRNA from 1 species
CGGAAUGUAGCGCAGUCUGGUAGCGCACCUGCUUUGGGAGCAGGGGGUCGCAGGUUCGAGCCCUGCCAUUCCGA